GUAUGCACCACAGCCGAUAUCUGGACCUCGCGAAGUCGCCGAUUUCUCGGUGUAACGGCUCAUUGGAUCGAUAACGCGACUUUAACGCGACAAUCCUUCGCCAUCGCGUGUCAGAGAUUCCCAGGAUCUCAUACAGCAGAAAGGAUUGCGGAGGUUUUAUUGGAUAUAAAUGAAUCUUUUGGAUUAAACACGGAAAAGGUCGUUGCAACUGUUACCGACAAUGGCUCAAAUUUCGCGAAGGCUUUCCGUGAAUUUGGUGUCAAUUCGCUGGACAGUUUCUUGCUUGAUGAGAAUUCAAACGAUGAUGAAGCAUGGAGGACUAUCUCUCGAACAGCCGAAUUAACCUCCGAUAACGUCGAGAAUCAUAGUCUCGAACAUGAUCGUGCCGUACCUGAACAGUCUGAGUCAU